ACCUACGAUGAGUGCAAAUAUUUGAGGUGCAGGCAACUUCCAAGUCCCUGUUCCAGGGAGAACCUACUUGGGGUCCCACAUUCAAAUGAGAUGUAUGGGCAUCUACUGAGGU
rnacentral:snoRNA from 1 species